AUGUUGAACCUUACCGCAACGGCUGAAAAAUACCUCAACAACACGGUUCGGCCGGGUUGGGAAACUUGGGGCCUCGAUGAAAAUUACGAAUACUGGUCCGGCCGCCACUACAUGAAGCCUGAGCAUCCAAUUCGAGGGACUGUAGAAGAAUUUCACCAGGACGAAAAUUGCAAACGCCCUCAAGGACUAGAAGAUAGAGUUUGCAGGGAAAGAUUUACAUGGACAUUUAAUGAUGGCAUAUGGAGUCCUUUUCAGCUCUUAGUUAACGUUACUGUUACGCACGUCGGUUUGAAGAACGAAACCUUUCUGUUGGACCUGAACAAUGCAACGUUAAUCACGAGACCACAGCGGCUGGGGUUAAACGUUAUGAGAGUGGCGUACACCCGACAUACGACAUGUUAUUUCCACGCUCAAGUUAAGUUUGACGGGUGGUUUGCAUAUAAAAUCAAGGAAAAAAGAGGAGAUGUGCCUGAUUACUACCCUGUAGGCAUCGGCGAACUAAAUGGCUGGGCAAAAGGACUGCUUGGCGAUGGUCGAUCAUCUGUUAAAAUACAAUAUGUCAGGCACAUUUCAACGCCUAUUAGUAUGUACUAAUCAAAAGAAGAAAGUGCGCAAAAUUAAGAAAGUGUCAACAACAAUGUCCACCACCGAAUUGAAAUAAAGAUCU
rnacentral:lncRNA from 1 species